rnacentral:ncRNA from 1 species
CGGCCUGAGGUCGGACGAGGCUACCCGCUGAAUUUAAGCAUAUUACUAAGCGGAGGAAAAGAAACUAACGAGGAUUCCCUCAGUAACGGCGAGUGAAGCGGGACGAGCCCAGCGCCGAAUCCGGCCGCUUAUGGAGCGGACGGAAUUGUGGCGUAUGGAAUUCGCUUCGAGCGCGGACCGGCUGCCCACGUCCUUCUGAUCGAGGCUUCAUCCAUAGCGGGUGUCAGGCCCUUGGCGGCGGCUGGCCCGGGCUCUCGGUGUCUUCCCGGAGUCGGGUUGUUUGGGAAUGCAGCUUACAGCGGGUGGUAAACUCCAUCUAAGGCUAAAUACGGUCACGAGACCGAUAGCGAACAAGUACCGUGAGGGAAAGUUGAAAAGCACUUUGGAGAGAGAGUUAAAAAGUACGUGAAACCGUCGAGAGGCAAACGGGAGGGCCUGUCGGGUCGUUCGGUCGCUUUCAGGCGGGCCGGAGACCGGGUCGCGGGAUCGGGGACCUUCGCGGGCCUCGACUCGCGUCGCCGGCCGACGGCUCGGCGCACUAGCGUCGGACGAGGGCCGCGACCGGCUGGGCGGCGGGCAAACGGCCCCGGGCAAGGUAACCCCGCUUCGGCGGGGUGCUACAGGCCCGGUGCGCGCAAGGGUCGCCGCCCGGUCGAGGAGAGAUGCGCGCCGCACCUGCCCCGUUCGCGGGGCCGGGGAAGCCGUUCGAGCAGCGUCGUGUCGCGGUCCGGGACUGUCCUCAGUCCCGGGUCGUCUCGGCGCGGUUCCGAGCGGUCGCUCCCUCGCGAGGUGCCGCGGGUCAGCGGCUGACGCCAGCCACCUUCCCGACCCGUCUUGAAACACGGACCAAGGAGUCUAACAUGUGCGCGAGCCGCGGGGCAGUACGAAACCCGUAAGGCGAAAUGAAGGU